GCAGUGGUAGCUCAGCGGCAGAGCGUGAGAUGUUCGUAUUUUCGUUUCCAAAACUGCCGUUCCAAAACUAACAUUAAUACAGUGCAAUGUGCAUAGUUACAUAACUAUCUCAAGGUCCCGCGUUCGAUCCGCGGUCACUGCU